UAGCCUAGUUGUUAAGGCUAUGGAUCGCCAAUCCGGAGACGACGGGUUUGAUUCCCGU
rnacentral:tRNA from 1 species